UUCCGGUUGAUCCUGCCGGCGGUCACCGCUAUUGGGAUUCGAUUAAGCCAUGCGAGUCGAGAGGGUUCGGCCCUCGGCUGACGGCUCAGUAACACGUGGAUAAUCUGCCCUAUGGUGGAGGAUAAUCUCGGGAAACUGAGAAUAAGACUCCAUAAAUCUAGGAAGCUGGAAUGCUCUUAGGUUGAAAGCUUCGGCGCCAUAGGAUGAGUCUGCGGACUAUCAGGUUGUAGUCAGGGUAAUGACCUGACUAGCCUACGACGGAUACGGGUCGCGAGAGCUCUAGCCCGGAGAUGAUAUCUGAGACACGAUAUCAGGCCCUACGGGGCGCAGCAGGCGCGAAAACUUCGCACUGUGCGAAAGCACGACGAGGGGAUCCCAAGUGUUAGCUCGUAAGAGCUAUCUGUUUCUCUGUCUAAAAAACAGAGAGAGUAAGGGCUGGGUAAGACGGGUGCCAGCCGCCGCGGUAAUACCUGCAGCCCAAGUGGUGGCCGUUAUUAUUGGGUCUAAAACGUCCGUAGCCGGUUUUGUAAAUGCCUAGGUAAAUCGUACGGCUUAACCGUACGAAUUCUGGGUAGACUGCGAAACUUGAAAUCGGGAGAGGCUAGAGGUACUCCUGGGGUAGAGGUGAAAUUCUGUAAUCCUAGGGGGACCACCAGUGGCGAAGGCGUCUAGCUAGAACGAGUUUGACGGUGAGGGACGAAGCCCUGGGGCGCAAACGGGAUUAGAUACCCCGGUAGUCCAGGGUGUAAACGCUGCUCGCUUGAUGUUAGUCGGGCUCCGAGCCCAACUAGUGCCGGAGAGAAGUUGUUAAGCGAGCUACCUGGGGAGUACGGUCGCAAGACUGAAACUUAAAGGAAUUGGCGGGGGAGCACCGCAACGGGUGGAGCGUGCGGUUUAAUUGGAUUCAACGCCGGG
rnacentral:rRNA from 1 species